CUGACCCUUAGCGAUUUCCUUUUAAACCCAAUCAUAGUGAAAGCCCUUUCAUCUCCUGCCUAGGUAACAGCAGCGCCAUGAGGCAACGAGAGCUUUUAGGAAACCCUAUCGAUGGACGCUGAAGUAGCAUCAGCUGAGCUGUUUGCCUCGGAGCCUGAUAAAGUACAGAAGGCCAGCUAAAUAAAUUUUCUGUAUAUACAAGAUUACUAGAGAUAUCCUCUUACUCCUCAGUGUACUCAGUACUAUACAUUUGGCCUGCUGAGCUAUCUGCCUAGCUAUGAAAAAAGGAAAAAAUUACUUCCACGGCCAUCUAAAUUUGUCUUUCUUCAAUCAACCAUCAGUUUGCUUAUAUUUUAUUUUAUUUUUUUUAAAAAUGACAACACAAAAAAAGGUGGUCAAAUGUUUAUCUCUUAUUUAUCCAGUAACAAUAAACUGCUGAAUCAUUAGGCUGGAAAGAAUUAUUUAGGUCAAGUUCACUCUUUGCAUGUGGUACUGAACAGUCUUAAAUCAAAAGUGCAAAUUCCUUGGU